CACCGUCCAAGCUGCGGCUUGAUGUUGGGCGAGGCUGCGGUCCGAGAGGACGGGCGGCGCGCCUGGAAGGUAUGGGCGGCGGAGGCCAGACCGCGAGCGUAGCAAGACGAGAGUCACCCGCUCGGACGGAUCUGGCGGACGCGUGUCGAGAAGUCGAGGAUGCGAGGGCGACCGCGCAAAGACGACGAAACACACACAA
rnacentral:misc_RNA from 1 species